rnacentral:misc_RNA from 1 species
GAUGAAGAACGCAGCGAAAUGCGAUAAGUAAUGUGAAUUGCAGAAUUCAGUGAAUCAUCGAAUCUUUGAACGCACAUUGCGCCCUCUGGUAUUCCGGGGGGCAUGCCUGUUCGAGCGUCAUUAUAACCACUCAAGCUCUCGCUUGGUAUUGGGGUUCGCGGUUCCGCGGCCCCUAAAAUCAGUGGCGGUGCCUGUCGGCUCUACGCGUAGUAAUACUCCUCGCGAUUGAGUCCGGUAGGUCUACUUGCCAGCAACGCCCAACUUUUACAGGUUGACCUCGGAUCAGGUAGGGAUACCCGCUGAACUUAAGAAUAUCACUAAGCGGAGGA